rnacentral:misc_RNA from 1 species
UUUGCUGGCUUCUUUACAGAUGGUCAGCUCCCCUUAAAUGCAUUAGCCGGUGCCCCGCGUGGACUGUCUAUUGGUGUGAUAAUUAUCUACGCGUGGACAUCUGCAAUCAUAUGGGUUUGCAUUGCUUCUAACAGUCUGUUCAUUCAGACAAUACAUGACAAUUUGACCUCAAAUCAGGUAGGACUACCCGCUGAACUUAA